UGGUGGAGCGAUUUGUCUGGUUAAUUCCGAUAACGAACGAGACUCUGGCCUAUUAAAUAGUUCGCCGAUUCCGAUCUGUCGGCGUUAACUUCUUAGAGGGACAAGUGGCUUUUAGCCACGCGAGAUUGG
rnacentral:rRNA from 1 species